GGGGGUAUAGCUCAGUUGGUAGAGCAGCUGACUCUUAAUCAGUAGGUCCUGGGUUCGAGUCCCUGUGCCCCCACCA
rnacentral:tRNA from 4 species